ACUGUUUACCAAAGACAUAGCUCUACUACAUACAUGUAGAGUGAUACCUGCUCCAUGGCUACAAAUAAACAAUAAUAGUAGUUAAAUAGCCGCGGUAACUCUGACCGUGAUAAAGUAGCAUAAUCACUGUCAUUUAAUUGGUGACUGGAAUGAAUGGUUUUACGAAUUUCCAACUGUCUCAGUAAUAAAAUUAAUGAAAUUAAACUAAUAGUGAAGAUGCUAUUUAUAAAUUGUAAGACGAAAAGANCCUAUCGAGCUUUACUAAAUGCUUAAAUAANCAAAUACUGCAAAAUAUUUUAGGACAAAAAUAUUUAAGCUAAUUAGUUUGGUUGGGGCGACCACCUCUAAAAAAGUAUCAGAGGAGAUCUAAUGGUUGAUACUAAUAUAAAAAGCCUAACUGUAUAUAAAUGCAUUAAUCAGUUACAACAAGUAGGAUAUAAUGACCUGUUGGGACUAUCUAAAUACCUAACGACUACAAAAAAGUUACCGUAGGGAUAACAGGGUAAUAUUCUCGAAGAGUUCUUAUCGAUGAGAAUGUUUGCCACCUCGAUGUUGAAUUAUGAUACCCUAAAGGUGCAAAGCUUUUAAGGGUUGGUCUGUUCGACCAAUAAUAUCAUACAUGAUUUGAGUUCAUUCCGUCGCAAGACAGAAGGUUUCUAUCUC
rnacentral:rRNA from 1 species